AAUGCAGGUUGCAAUUACAGUGCUUCAUUGUGGUGGGAGUGCUGUCAUUAUCCUGCAGAAAUAAAAGAUGUCGGCUCAUUGGAUGGUUUUCCUUCAUCCGAGGAGAAUCCUUCAGUGCUGACAGCUACAGGU